UUGAACGCUGGCGGAAUGCUUUACACAUGCAAGUCGAGCGGCAGCGCGGGGGCAACCCUGGCGGCGAGCGGCGAACGGGUGAGUAAUGUAUCGGAACGUACCCUGUCGUGGGGGAUAACACAGCGAAAGCUGUGCUAAUACCGCAUACGACCUGAGGGUGAAAGCGGGGGAUCGCAAGACCUCGCGCGAUAGGAGCGGCCGAUAUCGGAUUAGCUAGUUGGUGGGGUAAAGGCUCACCAAGGCGACGAUCCGUAGCGGGUCUGAGAGGAUGAUCCGCCACACUGGGACUGAGACACGGCCCAGACUCCUACGGGAGGCAGCAGUGGGGAAUUUUGGACAAUGGGCGAAAGCCUGAUCCAGCCAUGCCGCGUGAGUGAAGAAGGCCUUCGGGUUGUAAAGCUCUUUCAGCCGGAAAGAAAUCGCGCAGGCUAAUACUCUGCGUGGAUGACGGUACCGGAAGAAGAAGCACCGGCUAACUACGU
rnacentral:rRNA from 1 species